UUCAUGUAAAUCUCCACUAACGUGAGAACAUUUGAAAUGAAAUCAUGUAGGGCUUGUUAAUGACUUGUAAUGUAGGCUUAGGGACAAGUAGGAUAGUCAUUUGGGAUAAAAGUGACUAAAUCCUUUCUUGAGCAUUGCACUAAAUUGGUGCUUUCAACAUUUGUUACGCUUUUAGCGUUUGAUUCUAUUUGUUGUCCCUUCCUUUUGCACUUUUG
rnacentral:lncRNA from 1 species